AAGAAUACACUAGAGUCUGGGCUACUACCGCGAUUGAAUACAAAUCCUGCCAACUGACAGAACUGGAAAACAGGGUUGGUGGUGGAGAUACAAGAAAAAUCAUGAACGGGAGAAAAGCAUUCCUAUGGUAGCUUGUAUUUUGCUUGAAAGAAAAAUAGAGAAAAAGAGCCACCAGCAGGAAUAAUUCUGCUACAAGGCUGAUUUCAAGGACAUGAAUUGUUGACCUCAUCCCAACAUCAGAACCUCAGAUGUUCUAAUUUUUGCACCAUUCCAGGCAAGUUGAUCUUAUAAGGAAAUAAAAUUGAACCUUAGGGGUCUGAUGGAAAUUCACUGUGACAUUCAAAUCAAGAAAACUUGCUAAUGCCCACAGAGCCUUUUCCCCAUGGGCCCUGAUGGUAGCCUCCAGAAGGUGCAGCCUCAGGUGGUGCCCUUUCUUCUGUGGCAAGAAUAAACUUUGGGUCUUGGAUUGCAAUACCACCUGUGGAGAAAAUGGUAUGCGAGGGAAAGCGAUCAGCCUCUUGCCCUUGUUUCUUCCUCUUGACCGCCAAGUU
rnacentral:lncRNA from 1 species